UUGCUUCGUGAAAAGAAAACUCUCGAAAGUUUACCUGUGCUUCAAAAAGCCAUUCUUCCCAAAUUCCAAAAAGAACUCAUGCUUAAAAUAACUUGCUACGUGACCGAUUAUGAACCGGAUCGAGAGAAUAAAACUGGACAACCGAUGGAGAGGAAUUGCCGAUUACUCAGUUGCCGAUAUUAUUAGAAAUCAAAUCCACCAACCCCCUCACCAGUAGCACUAGCAGCCUCCUCUCUUUAUCUCCCUCACCAACUACUCAGUAAUCCGUCCAUAGGAGUCUACUGCAAAUUCUUCAAAUUCCUCAUCUCUCUCAAUGGAAUCGAGCAAUCUCUCAUUAUCAGGUAUUGAAACGAAUACUGGAGGAGGAGGAAUGAGAACAAAUUCAACAUUAAUUUGUGCACCAAUUAUGGGGAAAUCAAUUGAUCAGAUGUUUAUUGAUAUGGCUAAAGCUAAAGAAAUUGGAGUUGAUAUUGUUGAGAUUCGAUUAGAUUACUUAUCAAGUUUCAGUCCUCGUCAAGAUCUUCAAAACCUAAUUGAAAAUUGUACUAUGUUAACUCUUUUCACUUACAGACCGAAAUGGGAAGGUGGUGAGUAUGAAGGUGAUGAUAGCAUUCGGCUAGAUGCACUAAAACUUGCCAUGGAACUGGGAGCUGAUUAUAUUGAUGUUGAGCUUCAGGUUGCGCAUGAGUUUAUUAGUUCGUUAGAUGAGAAGAUACGUGAAAAAUCUAAAAUUAUUGUUUCUUCUCAUAACUACCAUGCCACUCCUUCAGUUGAGGAAAUAGGCGAUCUUGUGGCAAGAAUACAAUCUACUGGUGCUGACAUAGUGAAGAUUGCAACAACUGCUGUGGAUGUCGCAGAUGUCGCUGGCAUGUUUCAAAUUAUAGUGCAUUCCCAAGUAAGCCAUGUUCCAUUUAUAGGAUUGGUAAUGACUGAAAAGGGUUUGAUCUCACGGUUACUUUGUCCUAAAUAUGGUGGAUAUCUCACUUUUGGUACUCUCGAAGAGGGAGUAGUAUCAGCUCCCGGGCAACCAACAAUCAAGGAUUUGUUGGAUAAAUACAACCUCAGACACAUAGGUGCUGAUACAAAAGUAUUUGGAAUUAUUGGGAAGCCUGUAGGUCACAGCAAGAGCCCUCUUUUGUUUAACAAAGCCUUUAAGUCUGUUGGUUUUAAUGGAGUUUAUGUGCCCUUUUUAGUGGAUGACCUUGCAAAGUUUUUGGCUACAUAUGCAUCUGCUGAUUUUGCUGGCUUCAGUUGCACGAUUCCGCACAAAGAAGCUGCACUUAAAUGCUGUGAUGAGGUUGAUCCAAUUGCCAAGUUAAUCGGAGCUGUUAAUACCAUUGUCAGGAGACCAAGUGAUGGGAAGUUAAUUGGUUACAACACGGACUAUAUUGGUGCUAUUUCUGCUAUAGAAGAUGGGAUGAGAGGUUCAAAUAAAAUUUACCAGGGAACUGGUUCACCCUUAGCUGGUAAAUUGUUUGUAGUCAUUGGAGCAGGUGGUGCAGGUAAGGCCCUUGCUUAUGGUGCAAAGGCAAAGGGAGCGAGAGUUGUGAUAGCCAACCGCACUUAUGAGCGCGCCAGAGAACUAGCAGAUUUGGUCGGAGGAGAUGCAGUUACUCUUGCUCAAUUGGAAACUUUCCGUCCAGAGGAUGGAAUGGUUCUUGCAAAUACGACCUCUAUAGGAAUGCAGCCGAAAAUUGAAGAAACACCCAUACCAAAGCAUGCCCUAAGUGCUUAUGCCCUGGUUUUUGAUGCCGUCUACACUCCAAAAAUGACAAGACUCUUGCUGGAAGCAGAAGAAUCUGGAGCCACAGUUGUUACUGGCGUAGAGAUGUUCAUUGGGCAGGCAUAUGAACAAUAUGAAAGGUUCACUGGUUUGCCAGCGCCUAAGGAACUAUUUAGGGAAACCAUGUCUAAACUGUAAUUAGUAAGUUGAUCUGGUUGUGCGCUCUCGGCCUAUUUUAUAUCCCUAAAUUUCAUUUAUGAGAUUGGUUAUUGAGUUGUAUCGCUACCCAAUUGAUAUCUAGAGUUGUUAUAGCAAAUGUGCUUCUGUAAUACAGAUAGAUCUUUGCAAGUGCUUAUAUUUUUGUUGUAAUUUAGAUUCUAGACCAAAAUAAAGCUGUUUCCCUUUUAUCAUUUCAGUGAUUUACAUAUCCAUGGAAGAUUGUUCCUGAUUGAGUAGUCCUGGUCAACUGAAGCUUCUGUAGUGAGUCAAGAGAUGUAAUAGUCUGAUUACCAGGUACACAUGCAAUGCUGACUGAUAAUAAACAUCUCUAUCUCCUCACUGGAAGGUUGUUCGUUUUGGCUUGACUGUUAGACAGUUGGCAGGGGAGGGUCAUCUCUUCUUUGUCAGGUAAAAUCCACUGCACAGAAAAAUGAAAAAAACUUCUUGCAUCUGAACUGCAAGAAUCAACAGAAAGAAUUCUUGCACGUUGAAAUCAACUGCGAGGUCCUACCUUGACUGAAAUCAUGACAAGAACUCAUCAGCCGUGACGCAAAUCACGGCCCCCAUUUCAAGGGUAUCCAUCUAGGAUUUUGUGAUCAUUGUGAUGAACUUUAGAUCAAGUUUUCUGAACAACAUCAUUGGAUGGCUGCUUUUUAAUAACAUCAUUGCCUGA